AUUGAACGCUGGCGGCAUGCUUUACACAUGCAAGUCGAACGGUAACAGGCCGCACGUUGCUGUCGAGUGGCGACCGGGUGAGUAAUGCAUCGGCACGUGCCCCGUCGUGGGGGAUAACUACUCGCAAGAGUAGCUAAUACCGCAUACGAGCUAUGGUUGAAAGCGGGGGAGUUUAAUGCUUCGCGCCAGUUGUGCUGCCGCUGUCAGAUUAGGUAGUUGGUGGGGUAAAGGCUCACCAAGCCAACGAUCUGUAGCUGGUCUGAGAGGACGACCAGCCACACUGGGACUGAGACACGGCCCAGACUCCUACGGGAGGCAGCAGUGGGGAAUUUUGGACAAUGGGCGCAAGCCUGAUCCAGCAAUGCCGCGUGCAGGAAGAAGGCCUUCGGGUUGUAAACUGCUUUUGUACGGAACGAAACGGCUCUGGUUAAUACCCGGGGCUAAUGACGGUACCGUAAGAAUAAGCACCGGCUAACUACGUG
rnacentral:rRNA from 1 species